ACGGGCUUGGCGCUCGGAGGUCUGCAAGCUGGCGCCACCGCUUUCCCUCACGCCUGAACAGAGAUUUAUUUAUUUUUUUCUCCCGCAGACACCCGGGUUGACAGCCGUCCUCCUCCGCUCUCCAGCAACACAUAUAAGGAAAGCUAAAAAAAAAAAAACCUGCUUUUUCCGACGCUGUGCUUCCACUUAAAAAUCCGCCUGGGUUUGCUUGAGUGGAGAAGAAAAGAGAGCUGCGGUGAAGAGAGAGAGAGAGCCUCCCUUCUUCAGCUGUUGGGUACCAGGAUCCUUUUAGCACUGCCGACUGCUGUGAUGAAUACUGAUAUGUGGACAGUGGAGUAACAGUAAAGGAGCCAGAGGAAUCCUGGUUUGAUAUGUGGAGGGAAGACUGUGUGCUGGAACCGGGGAUUGCACUCUGAGGAAGGAGCAAGGAUAAGUGUUAUCUUCAUGUAAAACUCAACCUGCAGGCUGAAAGUCCUCUCCGGUGUUCCCCUUCGCUCCAGUCAUAAUAAUGACGCUCACUCUGUAGCCCUUCGCUACCUGUUUGGUAUUCGUUCCUGUUCCCCCAAAAAACGUCCCUGCGCUGAUAGCACUCAGAGACACAUUUUUACUUUAACCGUACAAACCACCACCUUGCCAUGGAUCGCCUGUGUCCGGGUGAAGGCGUGAGCCGGACACGGGCCCUCGUUGGGAAACUGUAGCCGUGUGGAUUCUCUUCAACUUCCUUCCGUGAUUUUACUCUGGAGUUAUUCUUUAUUUGGACCAGGGAUGGAUGUACCGGAAGCCAGCAAGCAUGGCAAGAAGUCGACAAGUCAAAAGCUGGAGGACCAGAAAAAGGUAGGCAAAACCUUUCUAUUUUUGUCUUUUAACCUUUUCUGCUCUGCAAUGCUCUUCUUUAAACUUCUCUCGCUGUGUGUACACGUGUGUUGUUUUUAUAAACAUAAUCAGAGCUUUGGUUUUCGCUGUAUUCCACUUGUAUGUAUGCAGAAGCCAAGGGAUGAAAGUUUGUUUAUCGCCUGCUUUGCUGUUCUCUUUAGAAAAACAGAACAUGUUGGUCCAAUUGCUGCUGUUGUCUGAAUUCCCAGCAGCUCCUCCGUUCCAUAUCUCCUAAUAGCUAUUUAUAAAGAAGAGGGGGGGUGAAGGUGGAGCUUCUGCGCCCCCUCUGCGCCUCCAGUCUUUCAUUUCAGCUCAUGUGGCAGUGGGCAGCCCCCCCCCCCCCCCCCCCUUGGGAAUACAUAUUUACUCUCUGUUUGCAAUGCUUUUUUUAUGUUAACCACUCUGGGAAUAGGAAGGGAAUGAUACCCGUAAAAAUUAGACAAAUCGUUUUUUUUUCCUUUGGUAAAGCGAUAACAAUAAUUGUGGAGGUCAACAGCUCGGGUAGAUAACGGUGAGCUUGGUGGAGGCUAGCUUUGAGUCGGACUCCGAAACGCGGUGCCCUCGACGGGGUCAGAUUCAUCUGUGGCGGCGGUGAGCGGAUCGAUGGAGAGAACCCAGGAGUCAGGCCGAGUUCACACUGUAUGCAGAAUGUGGGACUCGUGGACAGCAGCAGCCUCUGUCGUUUCUGCUCCCACAUGCAUAGAAUUGGUACUUACUGGACUAGAUGAACACACACACAUAGGAAGUGAUGCUGUAUAGUCACCUGCACAUAGACGGAGACGUACACACCUACUACAAUGCAUACAUAGACGGUAGGAGAUAAUGGAUGCACACACAAACACACAGCGCCUCCCUCUCCCUGCCUCUGACCUGAUUCCUCUAAUGAAGUGCUUUUGAUAAGCGUAAUGAUUGUCCAGGCGAAGCCCGGGGAACAUCCGAGCGCAGCGAAGGCGCAGUAAUACAUCAGCUCUGACAUUUGUAGCACUAUUAAGAUCUCAUAAAGAAGAUGAUUGUACUUUAUUCUUUCUUUUUUUCCUUUUCGACCUGAGUGCCACCUGGGAGUGCUUUCUUUAAAAAAAAAAAAAAGCCACACAGAGACGUGUUGCUGUGUGCGCUGCCUGGCAACAACAUUUUAAAACCUUUUUAGAGGAGGCACAGGAAGGAAGGUGUGUUCCUGCCCUUUUUGUGAUACAGUACAUUCUGGAUGAUUGCUGUAGAGCUAAAAAAAACAGUAAUAUCAAUGUGACCUCUCCAAAAACCAGAAGCUAAUACACCCUUGUGGUUCACUUAGAUUACAUAUGCUCACUGUGUUCAGUCUCCCUUUCUUAACAAUUGCAGCCUCUGGAGCUUUUACAUGAAUACACUGUAUGUCAAACAACAAAACAAAGAGCAGCAUAUUCUGUGUUUGCGCUACAAAAUGGAAGCUGAUUUCUAGGUGAGGGGAGCCUCCAUUGAAGCGUAGAUUGGAACUGAGCAAAGAGUGACAUCAAAUAUUCAUCCGCGAAGGGAAUUGAUUUGGCUCAAUUCGGCUACCAUUUGGGUUUGAGGAUGUGUGUCAUGCCAAAAGAUAAGCUCUCCCUCUCCGUCUUAACUGUUGCCUUCAGCUAGGAGACAUAUGUUUCUGAGCAAGAAGAGCUUCUUGGAAGGUUUUCCGUAUUCCUGGCGACGUUUUUGCAGUUACGGCGGGAUGUUUGCCGUAAUUGGCCCGACUUGAUGGGUUAUGCCUCGUCCUCUAAGUCUCGUACUGACUCCUCUCUGUCAGCCUUUAUAGCUGAACCCAGUAGAGGAGAAUUGCUGUGCUUACAACACAUAUUUGCAGAGAUGUAGUGAGUGCUCUGUCUCACUCCAAUGAUUGCCACCUUUCCCUUUGUAAUGGAGGGGAUUAUCUGUGCAGAAUGGAUACACUGUGAUGCAUGCCAAACUUGCGAUACAGAGAAAAUAGUGGCACAAAAGAAUUUCACUCAAGUUUCAGCAUUUAAGGAAUAGCUGACAUUUUUUGAAAUAUGUUUAUUUGCUUCCUUGCCGAGAGUUAGAUGAGAAGAUGGACACCACUCACAUGUCUGUAUGGUAAAGGUGAUGCUGAAGCCAGGAGCCCUUGUUAGCUUAGCUUAGCAGGAGAAACGUUUUUUUUACACAAUGUGUACAAAUGA